GACGAACGCUGGCGGCGUGCUUAACACAUGCAAGUCGAACGAAGUGGCGAACGGGUGAGUAACGCGUAAUCAACCUGCCCUUCAGCGGGGGACAACAGUUGGAAACGACUGCUAAUACCGCAUACUGAAGGCGGGGAUUGCGUCGGAUUAGCUAGUUGGAGGGGUAACGGCCCACCAAGGCGAUGAGCAGUAGCCGGUCGUAGACGAUGAACGGCCACAUUGGGACUGAGACACGGCCCAGACUCCUACGGGAGGCAGCCGUGGGGAAUCUUCCGGAAUGGACGAAAGUCUGACGGAGCAACGCCGCGUGAGUGAUGACGGCCUUCGGGUUGUAAAGCUCUGUUAAUCGGGACGCGGUACCGGAAUAGAAAGCCACGGCUAACUACGUGCCAGCAGCCGCGGUAAUUC
rnacentral:rRNA from 1 species